CAGCACUGGUAACGGUGGCUAAUACCGGAUGUGCCGAGAGGUAAAAGGCUUGCUGCCUGAAGAUGAGCUCGCGUCUGAUUAGCUAGUAGGUGUGGUAAGAGCGCACCUAGGCGACGAUCAGUAGCUGGUCUGAAAGGAUGAUCAGCCACACUGGGACUGAGACACGGCCCAAACUCCUACGGGAGGCAGCAGUGGGGAAUUUUCCGCAAUGGGCGAAAGCCUGACGGAGCAAUACCGCGUGAGGGAGGAAGGCUCUUGGGUUGUAAACCUCUUUUCUCAAGGAAAAAAAAAAUGACGGUACUUGAGGAAUAAGCAUCGGCUAACUCCGUGCCAGCAGCCGCGGUAAUACGGAGGAUGCAAGCGUUAUCCGGAAUGAUUGGGCGUAAAGCGUCCGCAGGUGGCUAUGUAAGUCUGCUGUUAAAGAGUGAGGCUCAACCUCAUAAAAGCAGUGGAAACUACAUAGCUAGAGUGCGUUCGG
rnacentral:rRNA from 1 species